CAUAUGACCCUUGACCCUGAAAUGUAGACUUGCACAAGUUGUAAACAUGGCAUGGUGGUUUUCUUUCUGUUUUGAUCAAGUUCUAUGAGUUUUAAUGUAAAAAUUGGAACUCCAGAGCCCAUUACUAGCAACAUGGAGAACGUUUUUAAAAAGAUGGCGGCAUGAUGUGUUAGGAGAAAGAGGGAAGACGGACCACGUGGACUGGGUCCUGCGUGAGAACAAAUACAAGAUCAAGGUCAAUUGGUGUCACAUCUCCGGAACCAUCUACAUCCACAGCGAGGAUCUUUCUCCCUCCGACCGUAGAAGGCGUCGUCAAUCACGAUCAACUCGCCCGCUGCACAAGCCAGCCACAUGUUGUGCAGGAAUGAACCCAUUGAUGUAGUGGAAUCAACCAUUCUUCUUCGUGGGGAGGUCCUGAAUUUCGGCAGCACCACCAAUGAAUCGUCAAUAAGAAGACACAAAACUGAACGGAAUGACCCCAUGAGCAAGCCAGAUGUUACUAUCGAAGGGAACAGAAGCAUGCAGUGACUAUCAUAGUAUCAUAACAUAGUCAACUCUUUUAUCUGAUUCGUAAUUGUUGUGCAUCAGAUCUUGUAAGUUGUCAGGAUUUCUAUCUAGAGAGAGAGAGUAUACAUGUAUAAUGAUUGCAUUUACUUGAGAGGUGAGAAGAUGUUUUGUGAGACAUUUUACUAGUAUUUGUGUUCUCAUUUUUGUUUCUUUAGUCCAAGGUUGAUGGUGAAGUGUCGCAGGGAUGUUUAGUAUUAAAAAAAAGGACAAUCUGAAAAUCAGCACCAAGGUCAGAGUCAAUCAUAUCAACUUGUGGCACUUCAUCUGGUUUACUUCACACACGUCUACUAUUUCUUUCUCUACAUCAGUCUUCUUUUCUCUUUAUCAACACUGCCAUUUCCCCCUGUUUUGUUCUGAAGUAGGCCGCAAUAGUUUCUAUUCCAAUUCCUCAUAUAGUUACUCGUACUAUUACUGCUAGACACCAUGGAGUAUUUUACUGGUGGCUACAAGUAUUCUUGGUGGUCUUAAGACAUAUGUUAGGAGACUGGUUUUUGUUCAGUCCAGACUUAAAUUGAGUAAUUUGUGGUUAUGUAAGAGGAUCAUGAAAAGAUAUUGUAAUAAUUUAGACACUGGUGUAUGAUUAUUGCAUGCUUAAUUACCAACCGUAUAGAGGAAAAUAUGACAGCGUCAUAUAACAUUGUUUUGAAUUUAUUAAUCUUUUUCAUAUUUUCAUAUCAACUCUUGAAGACAAUACAACCAGGCUUGAGACAUGAGAGCAAUAGAUGUACCAAUAAUUUAAUGAAGCAUUCAAAAACAGACCAUCACAUCAAAACGAUCCAUACUAAACUGCCGAAUGUGCGGAAGCCAUGUCAUAGGUCACACUGGCAUUGUUAACUCUUCCAGUCUUGAUGGUAUAUUAAAUGAAGCACCAAUGUCAGUAAGGCCAUGUAACAUGGAACUUGGUAAAUAAAAUGAGGAUGAAAAAAGCACAC